rnacentral:rRNA from 1 species
AUCGAUGAAGAACGCAGCGAAAUGCGAUAAGUAAUGUGAAUUGCAGAAUUCAGUGAAUCAUCGAAUCUUUGAACGCACAUUGCGCCCUCUGGUAUUCCGGAGGGCAUGCCUGUUCGAGCGUCAUUACAACCCUCAAGCUCUGCUUGGUAUUGGGCCUCGGGCGUCAGCCCGUGCCCUAAAAUCAGUGGCGGUGCCAUCUGGCUCUAAGCGUAGUAAAUUCUCUCGCUAUAGACGUCCGGUGGAUGCUUGCCAAAACCCCCAAUUUUUUACAGGUUGACCUCGGAUCAGGUAGGGAUACCCGCUGAACUUAAGCAUAUCAAUAAGCGGAGGAAAAGAAACCAACAGGGAUUACCUCAGUAACGGCGAGUGAAGCGGUAACAGCUCAAAUUUGAAAUCUGGGUCUUUUAGACUCCGAGUUGUAAUUUGUAGAAGAUGCUUCGGGUGUGGCUCCGGUCUAAGUUCCUUGGAACAGGACGUCAUAGAGGGUGAGAAUCCCGUAUGUGAUCGGUCGCCUAUGCCCAUGUGAAGCUCUUUCGACGAGUCGAGUUGUUUGGGAUUGCAGCUCAAAAUGGGAGGUAAAUUCCUUCUAAAGCUAAAUAUUGGCGAGAGACCGAUAGCGAACAAGUACCGUGAGGGAAAGAUGAAAAGCACUUUGGAAAGAGAGUUAAACAGUACGUGAAAUUGUUAAAAGGGAAACGAUUGAAGUCAGUCGCGUCUACUUGGACUCAGCCUUACCUCGGUUUGGUGCAUUUCCUUGUAGACGGGCCAGCGUCGAUGUUAGUUGCUGGAAAAAGGUGUAGGGAAUGUGGCUCUUUCGGGAGUGUUAUAGCCCUAUGUCAUAUGCAGUGACCGGUAUCGAGUGUAACAGCACGCUUUUGCGGUGCUUGUGCUGGCGUAAUGGCUUUAAACGACCCGUCUUGAAACACGG